rnacentral:rRNA from 1 species
ACGCACGCUGGCGGCGUGCUUCACACCUGCAAGUCGAACGGAAAGGCCCUGCUUUUGUGGGGUGCUCGAGUGGCGAACGGGUGAGUAACACGUGAGUAACCUGCCCUUGACUUUGGGAUAACUUCAGGAAACUGGGGCUAAUACCGGAUAGGAGCUCCUGCUGCAUGGUGGGGGUUGGAAAGUUUCGGCGGUUGGGGAUGGACUCGCGGCUUAUCAGCUUGUUGGUGGGGUAGUGGCUUACCAAGGCUUUGACGGGUAGCCGGCCUGAGAGGGUGACCGGCCACAUUGGGACUGAGAUACGGCCCAGACUCCUACGGGAGGCAGCAGUGGGGAAUAUUGCACAAUGGGCGGAAGCCUGAUGCAGCAACGCCGCAUGCGGGAUGACGGCCUUCGGGUUGUAAACCGCUUUCGCCUGUGACGAAGCGUGAGUGACGGUAAUGGGUAAAGAAGCACCGGCUAACUACGUG